rnacentral:tRNA from 1 species
GUCCCUGUAGCGCAAUGGAUGGCGCGUUGGACUUCUAAUCCAAAGUUUGUAGGUUUGAAUCCCACCUGGGAUU